rnacentral:rRNA from 1 species
AGUGAACGCUGGCGGUAGGCCUAACACAUGCAAGUCGAACGGCAGCACAGUAAGAGCUUGCUCUUACGGGUGGCGAGUGGCGGACGGGUGAGGAAUACAUCGGAAUCUACUUUUUCGUGGGGGAUAACGUAGGGAAACUUACGCUAAUACCGCAUACGACCUACGGGUGAAAGCAGGGGAUCUUCGGACCUUGUGCGAUUGAAUGAGCCGAUGUCGGAUUAGCUAGUUGGCGGGGUAAAGGCCCACCGAGGCGACGAUCCGUAGCUGGUCUGAGAGGAGGGUCGGCCACACUGGAACGGGACCACGGUCCAGACUCCUAAGGGAGGCAGCAGUGGGGAAUAUUGGGCAAUGGGCGCAAGCCUGAUCCAGCCAUCCCGCGUGGGUGAAGGAGGCCUUCGGGUUGUAAAGCCCUUUUGUUGGGAAAGAAAAGCAGCAGGUUAAUACCCCGCUGUUCUGACGGUACCCAAAAAAUAAGCACCGGCUAACUUCGUG